GGAGCCUGGCUCAGUAAGACCGACAUUACAAACGCCUUCAAAUUACUCCCUAUCCACCCCACACUGUGGCACCUGCAUGGCAUCAAGUGGUCCGGGAACUACUAUUUUUUUCUCCCGGUUAACUUUUGGGUCCAAAAGUAGCCCAGCUAUUUUCGACACAUUUGCCGAAGCAUUAUGCUGGUUACUAUUGAACAUAGCCGGAUGCCCUACAGUAUUACAUUACUUGGACGAUUUCCUACUGGUCGAGGAGAAUACUGCACCUCCCACUAGCCUCAAAGCUACCACUAAGCUGUUUGAGCAACUAGGUGUACCCAUCUCCCCAAAGAAAACAUUAUCACUUUUCUGGGUAUCCAAUUAGACUCUGCCACAAUGCAAGCAAGCCUACCAUACGAUAAGAUAGAAAAUAUUCUCACUUACAUAAACAACUACCUACAUCUCAGCACUUGCAACCACAAAGAACUACAGUCCCUGCUGGGGUCACUAAAUUUUGCAAUGCGCAUCAUACCUCAAGGCCGCUCCUUUAUUUCACGACUAUUGCAUCUUUUCCCACUUUUUCUACAUGACACGCACAGGUUGUCCUUAGAUGCCCAAGCUACGGCAGAUCUAAACAUGUGGAAGA